GGGUGAUCUGGCUGUGAUAACUGUCACUCACUGAGUGCCAGGAUGGAUUCAGUUGAUCUAGCUGGCCAGGCUAAUGUCCUCUUUUCCUUCCCUCCAGAAGCUGUGGGCUUGGCAGAAGAAGACGAGUUUCUCUGAUGAAGGAGGUCUAUCUUUAGUCAAAAGUGUGUGAAUAGCUGCCCAUCCCUGCUGGAUCUUCAAGGAGCUCUCAAGAUGGUGUGUUUCUAGAGCUAGACUAUGGGUGGCACUUAGGGGUCCUUGUAGAAGAAGCUCUACUAAAGAGCUGGCUUCUUUGU
ensembl:misc_RNA 7SK 7SK RNA